rnacentral:lncRNA from 1 species
GCGACCGGAGGGGCCAUCAUUUCAAGUGCCUCUUAAAGGGGACUUGAAGCAGCGUGGUGUACGGCAGGCAUGAGGGUGCCACAUCACUGAUAGGAUCAUAGCUGCACAAGUGAGAUUUAAGGACAACCCUUUGGCAUAAAAGAUGAUGUGAUGCAUACAAGUUGAAGAGGAAGCCCCAAGGAGAAUGCAUGGUUCACUGAAGGAGAAGACAGAAGCAUGGAAAGCAUGCAAGUAAUUAGGUGGGUGCAAUGAUAUAGGGGUAUUAAUAGUUCUGACCCACUGUGAUUGUGAGCAUAUAGGCACAUAAUAGAUGUAUUCAUAUAGUUUCGUAACUUUGAAGGAACCUCUUGAUAAAGCUAGAAAGUUUGCAGC